UAUUAGCAUUAGCCAUAGUUGUACUGAUUGAUCACUCAUUUCCUCAAACUUCCAUAACCCUUUUGACCAAAUUGUAUUAGAAGUUUGAUGUAAAGAUACCCUUAUUGUUUCUAAGUUGUGAUCUUGCUACUAUCAUUGUUUAAUUGAAGGGAA